rnacentral:rRNA from 1 species
UACGUAGGGGGCUAGCGUUGUCCGGAAUCAUUGGGCGUAAGAGCGUGUAGGCGGUCCGGUAAGUCCGCUGUGAAAGUCGGGGCUCAACCCUGGAAGGCCGGUGGAAACUGUCGGGCUAGAAUCCGGAAGAGGCGAGUGGAAUUCCCGGUGUAGCGGUGAAAUGCGCAGAUAUCGGGAGGAACACCAAUGGCGAAGGCAGCUGCUGGGACGGUAUUGACGCUGAGACGCGAAAGCGUGGGGAGCAAACAGG